rnacentral:tRNA from 1 species
GAGGUCUUAGCUUAAUUAAAGUGUUUGAGUUGCAAUCAUAGGAUGCAGAUUAGAGUUUUGCAGGCCUUC